AAUGCUACCUGGUUGAUCCUGCCAGUAGUCAUAUGCUUGUCCCAAAGAUUAAGCCAUGUAUGUGUAAGUAUGAAUUAAUUCAGACUGUGAAACUGCGAAUGCCUCAUUAAAUCAGUUAUAGUUUGUUUGAUGGUACCUACUACUCGAAUAACCGUAGUAAUUCUAGAGCUAAUACGUGCAACAAACCCCAAAUUUUGGAAAGGAUGCAUUUAUAAGAUAAAAGGUCGAAGCGAGCUCCGCCCGUUGCUACGAUGAUUUAUGAUAACUUGAUGUAUCUUAUGGCCCUCGUGCCGGCGACGCAUCAUUCAAAUUUUUGCCCUAUCAACUUUCGAUGGUAGGAUAGUGGCCUAUAUGGUGGUGACGGGUGAUGGAGAAUUUGGGUUCGAUUCCAGAUAGGGAGCCUAAGAAAUAGCUACCACAUCUAAGGAAGGCAGCAGGUACGAAAAUUACCCAAUCAUGACAUGGGGAGGUAGUGACAAUAAAUAACAAUACCGGGCUCUGAGAGUCUAGUAAUUGGAAUGAGUACAAUGUAAAUCCCUUAACAAGGAUCCAUUGGAGGGCAAGUCUGGUGCCAGCAGCUACGGUAAUUCCAACUCCAAUAGCAUAUAUUGAAGUUGUUGCAGUUAAAAAGCUCGUAGUUGGACCUAGGGUUGGGACAGUCGGUCCGCCUAUGGUGUGCACUGAUCAUCUCGUCC
rnacentral:rRNA from 1 species